CAUGCAAGUCGAGCGGAUGAAGGGAGCUUGCUCCCUGAUUCAGCGGCGGACGGGUGAGUAAUGCCUAGGAAUCUGCCUGGUAGUGGGGGACAACGUCUCGAAAGGGACGCUAAUACCGCAUACGUCCUACGGGAGAAAGCAGGGGACCUUCGGGCCUUGCGCUAUCAGAUGAGCCUAGGUCGGAUUAGCUAGUUGGUGAGGUAAUGGCUCACCAAGGCGACGAUCCGUAACUGGUCUGAGAGGAUGAUCAGUCACACUGGAACUGAGACACGGUCCAGACUCCUACGGGAGGCAGCAGUGGGGAAUAUUGGACAAUGGGCGAAAGCCUGAUCCAGCCAUGCCGCGUGUGUGAAGAAGGUCUUCGGAUUGUAAAGCACUUUAAGUUGGGAGGAAGGGCAUUAACCUAAUACGUUGGUGUUUUGACGUUACCGACAGAAUAAGCACCGGCUAACUCUGUGCCAGCAGCCGCGGUAAUACAGAGGGUGCAAGCGUUAAUCGGAAUUACUGGGCGUAAAGCGCGCGUAGGUGGUUUGUUAAGU
rnacentral:rRNA from 1 species